rnacentral:tRNA from 1 species
GGUUUGGCUCAGCGGACAGAGCAUCAGCCUGCGGACUCGAGGGUCCCGGGUUCGAUUCCCGGCCA